CUUCUCUGCUGGAGUUUCAUAGCAAGCCUAGGAUGCAGGUGUAUCAGGAAAGCAGUUGGCAUUAUUAAAAUUAUCAUAAAGAAUUAAGAUACCCAUAUGAUUUUCCAAAAAUAGACUACAUGACCUCUCUACAAGAACUUUUGGGAAGAAGAACGGGAAAUCUUUAGUGGCAGGAAGGAAAUACUGAAUCUAAGUCUUGAAACAAUAGGAAAGCUCUACAGGACUGAAAGAAAGCUAAUGGGUCAACACUUCAAAGAUGCAAGCAGAGUGAGCCAUGUAACUACACAGCUAUAACCUACCUAUGAUCAUAGGAGUAUACUGGAAGAUUUGAUGCAGGAUUCAGAAACUGAAGGAUCCAAAACAUAAUACAGAAAAUGUUUACAAUAAACAUCAUUGUUUAACAAUAGCUAAAUUUCUAUAAUCUUUCACCAGAUAACACCACUGAUAGCUCUAAUGCAAUUCCUUGUGAUACAUACAGACAAGUAAUGAUAAAACAUUUCAUAGACACAAAGUCUAGAAAGAACUUUAUAUGCUAUUGAUAUCUUCAUCUAACUUUUUUUUGUAUUUUGCUUUUAGGAUGAGCCUUGCUCAGUUUUGAAAGUAACUGAAGUUUUUGACUUUUUUCUUAGAAGGAUGUCCUAAACUAACACUAAAUCUAAGUAUUUUCUGGAUAGAAGUAAUUAUAAAAAUACAGCUUUUUUUUCCUUUUUAAAUUAGUCUUAUUAGGUAGAUUGGCUUGGACAUUUUCUUCUUUGGAUUUAGUAUUAAUCUCUUGUAGAGUAUACAAAACUGUUCUCUUUGAAAAAUCGUCUCAUUCACAGAGUAUUCUAGAAACUUCUUAUAUAAUGCAGGUGUACAGACAGCUUUAGCAACCUCUUUCUGAUCACUUUCUACUCAGAAUUUGUCUUCAUAUCAUGCAUGAGUGAGCGUGCACGCACACAUUCUGUGUGGUAUGCAUUAGUAGGUUUUUAAGCUCCACAAAUUACUCCUUACAUGGACUUGCACUAACACACUUUAAUUUCAGAAUAUAACUCAAUCCUCCAAGAUCAUGAAAAACUUUCCAGAACCUAUAUUAUCUUUUAUCUUAACAGAAACUCACAUCACUAUAUAAUUAGAAUAUUUUAUUACCAAAAUAUUUUGUGAGCUAUUUAUAAAAAUUCACCUGAAAGUGAUCGUAGAUAAAUUUUAAAGGAUUUGCGGUAACAAA